AUUGAUGUGGCUCAUGCAGUCACCUAUCUACACACGUAUACAGAUCACCCGAUUAUUCACAGGGAUAUAAAGUCUUCCAACAUUCUGCUCACUGAAAAUUUUAGAGCCAAGGUAACUGAUUUCGGUUUUGCUAGAUUGGCAGCUGACACUGAUUCAGGUGCCACCCACGUCUCCACUCAAGUGAAAGGAACUGCUGGCUACUUGGAUCCAGAAUACCUGAA
rnacentral:misc_RNA from 1 species